GACUCACUUUGCACAGGGCUGUAGUCCCAGGCGGGUGAUUCCAUGUGCCACAGAAACAUUCCAGGUGCCUUGACUUGUCAAGGGUAACGUGGUUGCCUAGAGACAUGGUA
ensembl:snoRNA